CGUAGGGUGCGAGCGUUAAUCGGAAUUACUGGGCGUAAAGUGUGCGCAGGUGGCCGCGCAUGUCGAGUGUGAAAUCCCCGGGCUUAACUUGGGAAUUGCGCUCGAAACUACGAGGCUGGAGUGUGGCAGAGGGAGGUGGAAUUCCACGUGUAGCGGUGAAAUGCGUAGAGAUGUGGAGGAACACCAAUGGCGAAGGCAGCCACCUGGGCCAACACUGACACUCAUGCACGAAAGCGUGGGGAGCAAACAGGAUUAGAUACCCUGGUAGUCCACGCCCUAAACGAUGAUGACUAGUUGUUGGGGGAGUUAAAUCCCUUAGUAACGCAGCUAACGCGCGAAGUCAUCCGCCUGGGGAGUACGGUCGCAAGAUUAA
rnacentral:rRNA from 1 species